rnacentral:rRNA from 1 species
CCUACGGGGGGCAGCAGUGAGGAAUAUUGGUCAAUGGGCUUACGCCUGAACCAGCCAAGUAGCGUGAAGGAUGACUGCCCUAUGGGUUGUAAACUUCUUUUAUAUGGGAAUAAAACAGGGCAUGCAUACCAUCUUGUAUGUACCAUAUGAAUAAGGAUCGGCUAACUCCGUGCCAGCAGCCGCGGUAAUACGGAGGAUCCGAGCGUUAUCCGGAUUUAUUGGGUUUAAAGGGAGCGUAGGUGGAUUGUUAAGUCAGUUGUGAAAGUUUGCGGCUCAACCGUAAAAUUGCAGUUGAAACUGGCAGUCUCGAGUACAGUAGAGGUGGGCGGAAUUCGUGGUGUAGCGGUGAAAUACUUAGAUAUCACGAAGAACUCCGAUUGCGAAGGCAGCUCACUGGACUGCAACUGACACUGAGGCUCGAAAGUGUGGGUAUCAAACAGGAUUAGAUACCCGAGUAGUC